GCCUGGGUGGCUCAGUCGGUUGAGCGUCCGACUUCGGCUCAGGUCACGAUCUCGCGGUCCGUGAGUUCAAGCCCCGCGUCAGGCU
rfam:Felis catus isolate Cinnamon breed Abyssinian chromosome B4, whole genome shotgun sequence.